CUGAAACUCCUUCCCGCGCACAAGAAGCUUCAAAUAAAUGUGUAAGCAGAAAUGCAAUCUAGCCAUAUUUUGAACCCACCAAAUCUAAAUCUAAAUCAAUUUGUCUUAGCAAUCCUUUCCAAAUGCAAUCAUCUCAUUCAUCUCAAACAACUUCAAUCUUUUCUCACAGUUCUUGGCCACUCACAAACCCAAUUCUAUGUCUUCAAACUCCUCCGCUUUUCUAUUCUCAAACUCUCUAACCUUUGCUAUGCUCGCUACGUUUUUGAUCAUGUCUGCUUUCCCAAUAUCUAUCUCUGCACUGCCAUGGUCACUGCCUAUGCCUCCAAGCUUGAUCACCUUUCCGCCUUCGAAAUUUAUCGCAACAUGGUUCGUCGAAGACACCCUAAACCCAACCAUUUUAUCUUCCCCCACGUCUUGAAAUCCUGUCAAACGAUGAAAUUGGUGCAUGCCCAGAUAGCUAAAUCGGGUUUUGGACAAUACCCAGUUGUGCAAACUGCUCUUGUUGAUUCGUAUUCCAGGUCUUCAUCUGACAUUGGAUUUGCAAGGCAGCUGUUCGAUGAAAUGUCUGAAAAAGAAUGUUGUGUCUUGGACUGCUAUGAUUUCUGGGUAUACUAGAGUUGGCCAGAUUGGAAAUGCUAUUUCUCUUUUUGACCAAAUGCCUGAAAGAGAUGUUCCAUCUUGGAAUGCUGUUAUUGCCGGAUGUACCCAAAACGGGUUGUUUUCGGAGGCUAUUUCCCUCUUUAGAAAGAUGAUGCUUCUUGCUCAAGCGACACAACAUCGACACAUCAGGCCUAAUCAAGUUACAGUUGUUUGUGUUCUCUCUGCUUGUGCAAACACUGGCAUGCUUCAGCUUGGGAAAUGCAUUCAUGGAUACGUGUAUAGAAACAGCCUUGGUUCUGACUCGUUUAUGUCCAAUGCUCUGGUGGAUAUGUAUGGGAAGUGUGGAAGCUUAAGAGAGGCCAGAAGGGUUUUUGACAUGACUUUGAAGAAAAGCUUGACCUCUUGGAAUUCCAUGAUAAACUGUUUUGCUCUCCAUGGACAUGGCAGGAGUGCGAUAUGCAUAUUUGAGGAGAUGAUGCAACAUGGAGAGGAUGUUAGACCAGAUGAGGUUACCUUUGUUGGUUUGCUGAAUGCUUGUACCCAUGGAGGGCUGGUUGAAAAAGGACGUUAUUAUUUCCUUAUGAUGACUCAGAAUUAUGGGAUUGAACCUCAGAUCGAACAUUAUGGGUGCUUGAUAGAUAUUCUUGGUCGGGCAGGAAAGUUUGAAGAAGCGUUGGAAGUUGUGAGGGGAAUGAAGAUUGAACCCGAUGAAGUUGUUUGGGGUUCUCUGCUUAAUGGAUGUAAAGUACAUGGUCAUACAGAUUUGGCCGAAUUUGCUGUUAAAAAGCUUAUUGAAAUUGACCCAAAAAAUGGAGGCUAUGGUAUAAUGUUAGCAAAUUUAUAUGGCGAGCUCGGGAAGUGGGAUGAGUCUCGCAAGGUAAGAAAAAUGUUAAAGGAACAUAAUGCUUACAAGACACCAGGUUGCAGUUGGAUUGAGGUUGAUAAUGAAGUUAAUCAGUUCUACUCUGCUGACAAAACACAUCCUAGAUCCGAGGAGAUAUACAAGAUAUUGGGAGGUUUGUCGGGCUUGAGCUUGAGGUUCUGGUAUUCUCCAUUUAUUGACUGCAAUACAUAAUUAUAGAUGAGUUUUCAAAUAUUUAUUCUUAAUCAGAAACUCAAAUUGCCUGCGCUGUCACUACUCUUCGAAGAAGAAAACACACAUGAAGAAUGUGGCGCAUCAUUUUGUUGUUGCAGUUGUGUUUCAGAGCUAUGUUUGUUACUUCCAAAUACAGAACUCCACUGUGUGUUUGGACUGCCUUCAACACUCAAUUUCUGCUUAUCAUAGAAGGCAAGUUUAUCUUUUACAUUCCGGGUAAAUUGUGAAUAACAAAAGAGUGGCCAGAGGCAUAGUUACUUUUGAUGGAUAAGGAUACCCAGAUGACACUGACAGUCUGACACUUUAAAUUAAAUUUUGAUAAAUAGGUGAACCUUCACCUAAACAUGUAAAUGAAUCAGAUGUUAAUAUCCAUGUCCAGCUACCGUGGUCAUAGACGAGGUUGGCAGACCACUUUUGUGAUUUGAGCAUGGUGCUCAUUUUCUAUGAGAAUAUUAAAGCUGGUUCCAUUUUUUUAUUAGGUCUGAAAAGGAUAAUAUUCGGUACCUCAGGUUGGCAGCUUAUGAAAGGCAUCAAGUCUCAAUCAUGAAAGCUUACUUGUUAUCAGUGUUUUUCACCUAAAAUAUCUAAGUUCUUAAUUGAAUUAAUUUACUAUUUAUUUUAUCAUUUCAUUUGUUU
rnacentral:misc_RNA from 1 species